rnacentral:rRNA from 1 species
AGGAUAAACGCUGGCGGCGUGCCUAACACAUGCAAGUCGAACGCGCUUUCGUCUUCGGAGGAGAGCGAGUGGCGGACGGGUGAGUAACACAUGGGUACCUACCUCUGGGUGAGGGAUACCGGCGAGAAAUCGCCGACAAUACCGCAUAGGCUUCUCUUCGCGAGAGGAGAAGCAAAGUUGCGCAAGCGACGCCUGGAGAUGGGCCUGUGGCCGAUUAGCUAGUUGGGGGGUAACGGCCUCCCAAGGCGACGAUCGGUAGCUGGUCUGAGAGGACGAUCAGCCACACUGGGAUUGAGAACGGCCCAGACUCCUACGGGGGCAGCAGUGAGGAAUUUUCCGCAAUGGAGGCAACUCUGACGGAGCAACGCCGCGUGCAGGAUGAAGGUUUUCGGAUCGUAAACUGCUUUUCGUCGGGGACGAGCAAGGACGGUACCCGAGGAACGAAGCCCCGGCUAACUACGCGCCAGCAGCCGCGGUAA